rnacentral:rRNA from 1 species
UACGUAGGGCGCAAGCGUUAUCCGGAAUUAUUGGGCGUAAAGAGCUCGUAGGCGGUUUGUCGCGUCUGCCGUGAAAGUCCGGGGCUCAACUCCGGAUCUGCGGUGGGUACGGGCAGACUAGAGUGAUGUAGGGGAGACUGGAAUUCCAGGUGUAGCGGUGAAAUGCGUAGAUAUCUGGAGGAAUACCGGUGGCGAAGGCGGCAUCCUGGACCGGCAUUGACGCUGAGGAGCGAAAGCUAGGGGAGCAAACAGGG